GUGCUUGCUUUGGCAGUACAUGUACUAAGAUUGGAACUAUGCGUGAGAAGAUUAGCAUGGUCCCUGGGCAACAUUCACAUGCAAAUUUGUGAAGUCCUGUAUUUUUGC